rnacentral:rRNA from 1 species
AGGGCACCACCAGGAGUGGAGCCUGCGGCUUAAUUUGGCUCAACACGGGAAAUCUCACCAGGCCCGGACACCGGAAGGAUUGACAGAUUGAGAGCUCUUUCUUGAUUCGGUGGGUGGUGGUGCAUGGCCGUUCUUAGUUGGUGGAGCGAUUUGUCUGGUUAAUUCCGAUAACGAACGAGACUCUGGCCUACUAAAUAGAUGUAUGAAUCCUUUAUUGGGUUUAUCAUGUGCUUCUUAGAGGGACGGGCGGCGUUUAGCCGCACGAGAAUGAGCAAUAACAGGUCUGUGAUGCCCUUAGAUGUUCUGGGCCGCACGCGCGCUACACUGAAGAAAUCAGCGUGUUUUCCUGAUCUGAAAAGAUUGGGUAACCCGUUGAACCUUCUUCGUGAUGGGGAUUGGGGAUUGCAAUUAUUCCCCAUGAACGAGGAAUUCCCAGUAGGCGCGAGUCAUCAGCUUGCGUCGAUUACGUCCCUGCCCUUUGUACACACCGCCCGUCGCUACUACCGAUCGAGUGAUUUA